rnacentral:rRNA from 1 species
AGUGAACGCUGGCGGCGUGCCUAACACAUGCAAGUCGAGCGAGCUUUUGCAGCGCAUCGCAAGAGCUAGCGGCAGACGGGUGAGUAACACGUGAGAAACCUUCCCUCGAAUGGGGAAUACCCCGGAGAAAUCCGGGUUAAUACCCCAUAAGACCACGGUCCGGCAUCGGACAGAGGUCAAAGGCGUAAGUCGUUUGAGGAUGGUCUCGCGUCCUAUCAGCUAGUUGGUGAGGUAACGGCCCACCAAGGCUAUGACGGGUAUCCGGCCUGAAAGGGCGAUCGGACACACUGGAACUGAGACACGGUCCAGACUCCUACGGGUGGCAG